rnacentral:rRNA from 1 species
AUGCGCGGCGCCGGCCGCCAGCACAUCACCGUUUCUACCCUCCGCACGGCACCGGCAGCCGGCUCUCACGUCUUCCGGAUCGAGGAGUUCACGCGACUCAGGGAGAAGACGGCCAAUGGCGUCGCCGUCUUGUCAAGCCCGUUUGGUGUCGGCGGCCACGAGUGGCGUAUCAGGUGCUUCCCGAACGGCAGGAUCAAAGAUUCGGAGGGCCAUGUCUCCCUCCACCUCCAGCACGACAGCCACGCCAGGACCGGCGACGUCACGGCGACGUACAAGAUGAGCAUACUCGACAAGUCCUGGGAGCCGUCGUGCACCCAAAUGAUGGAGAAUCACCGCUUCGAGACAGACGAUGGUUACUGGGGCUGGAGAAAGUUCAUGAAACACAAAGAUCUUGAUCUUGACAGAGAGAAGUACCUCAAGGAUGACUGCCUCUCCGUCCUCUGCGACGUCACAGUUGACCUCGGGCUGCGAACCACCGAUGAGGUUGCGGCGCCCGAGCAACUCAAUUCGGAACCAGCGCCUUUGGAGCCUCCUCAUGGCUUACAUCUCGCGGAAGCAGCGGACGUGAUGAUCCACCUCGGCGACGGGAAGAGGAUCGGAGCGCACCGGUGGGUGCUGGAGGCCCGAUCCCCCGUAUUUGAGUCUGAAAUCGCGCUCGCCCCGACAACCGGCGAGAACAUUGCUGAACUACGCGUCGACGGCAUGGACGCCGACGUGUGCAAGGCGCUGCUCAGGUUCAUCUACACCGACUCACCGCCGGCGCAGCUCGAGGAGGCACCGGCAACGACCGUGGAGCAGCUGCUCAUGGCGGCGGACAGGUACGAACUGAAGAAGUUGAGGGCCGCCUGCGAGGAGGCGCUGUGCAAGAAGAUCGACGUGAGCUCCGUGGCCACCGCCCUGGCGCUGGACGAGCGGUACGGCUGCCCGGCACUGAGGAAGGCGUGCAUGCGCGUCCUCUCUUCUCCCGAUAACCUAGAAGCUGUGGCAGCGUCAUCUGAUGGUUUGGAGAAGCUCAAGACACUCAGCCUCUCUGUCCUGCUGGAUCUAUUCGACAAGAACAUGCCGUUGCGUGAGCAGCAACGGAUGCUCCGGACUAUCAGACUCGUGUCGGAUCAGUCUGAUAAAGGGUGGUGA